rnacentral:antisense_RNA from 1 species
CAGAGGUCGGGAUUCCUUCUUUCCUGCUCUGAGAGGGACCAGGUGCCUCCUCCGUAGCUUUUGUCUUUCUGUUGCCUGCGCGUGUCCUGGACUGCUCACGGGAGUUCUGCAGGAGACGCCGGAAUAUCUGGAAGCUGAAAAAUGGAAAUAAAUGGAAAGACCAGAAUAUUGAAGAUCACUACAGAACUCUAAGGUGACUCCCACGACCAGUGCGGGUCACAGCAUAGGUGACAGAAGCUAUGGCAGAGGCACUUGAACCCUCUCGGAGGGGAAAACCAGGCUCCCAACCUCAGCUCGCCUCCCGCAGCCAGGGACUGAGGAGAGCAGGGCCUUCCCCUCCCCGAUGGACACUUGGCAGGCCCCGCCCGGCGCCCCUGAUUGGACGAAGCGCCGGGCCCCGCCCCCUCAGCCUUUUGAGUCAGGGUCUCACCCUGUGGCCCAGGCUGCCCUCCAGUGAUGCCAUCAUGACUCAGUGCAACCUAAAACUCCCAGGUUCAAAUGAUCUACCAUCCUGACCUCCAAAAGGGCUAGAUUAUACACAUAAGCCAUGUCACACUUUAUAUGUUUCUAGGGAAGCUUUUCUAAGAAUAAAUACAUUGGAACUA